UCAUGCCAGAGGGUACCAGGGAACUUUAAAUGCUUAUGUUGGGAAGCCGAGGUCUGCUUAACAAAUUCACAUAGUGGUGGUCCUAAAAGAUGAGACUUUUAUGUGAAAAUACAAAUAUCCAACCAAGGUCAAUCAUACCAGCCUGCCCUGCCCUGUAGUGACCAUAACAUACCAAUAAGUUACCCAGGUUUGAUUCGGUAUAUCAGCCCAACCAGUCCGUACCAAUUUGAACGGAGCUGAAUCACCC
rnacentral:lncRNA from 1 species